rnacentral:lncRNA from 1 species
AUGGCAGGACAGCCACUCUUUGCAGCAGCCCGUGGCAGUGCAGAGCAUACCCAUGCACUUUGUCCUUGCUGUAAAGCACCAACUGCCCUGCUGGACCAGAAAACACUGAGGAAGGGGGAAGAAAUGCUUACACCUAUGCUACCCUACCCUCUGCAAGGACAUGCCAGGGAAAAGAACAGUGCCUGGAGCUGCAUGGCCCUUCACACAGAGUGUCCCCAGGGCUUUCCCCAGCACCCUGGGCCCGACCCGAGGCGGCGGGUCGCAGGCUGCAGCUGCCGCCCGUCUCCCGGCAACGCAGGGCACGCCCACCGCCCGCGCGCCAUGGCCCUCGCGGCUUGCCGUAGCGCGGCAGCAGUGAGGGAGAGGCCCCGGGCCCCGGCACGGCCGGCCCCGGGCAGCGCUCCCGGCGCCGGGCAGCGCUCCCGGCCCCUGCCCCUUGGCGCGGCGCGUCCCUGCCGCCCAGCCCGGCGGCGGCGGCGGCGGCGGCGGCGGCGGCGGCGGCGGCGGCGGCGGCGGCGGCGGCGGCGGCGGCGGCGGCGGCGGCGGCGGCGGCGCUGGGCCCGGGCCUGUGCUGCCGCUGCCCACGGGGGUCGGGGAGGCUGCGCCGUGGCCGAGGCCGGGUGGCGGGUUGGGAUGCAGCAGGCCGGGGCAGGGCUGGUGUGUGCAGCCCUUUUGGGGGAGUGCUGCUGGAUUUUGGGUGUGUUUGUGGGCUUGGGGGUGUUGCUGGUUUUGGGGGAUGCUGGCAGGUGCAGGAGUGUUGCCUGUUUUAGGGAGCGUUUCUGUGUUUCAGGGGUGUUUCAGGUUUUGGGGACUGCUGCGAAUUCAAGGGGGUGCUUCUCGUUGCAGUGGUGCUGGUGUUCUGGGGGGGUGCUGCCCCUGCUCCUUCCUGGCCCUGGGAAAUGCUGGUUGAGACUGACCCACACAGCUCUAGAGUUUGUUUUGCACCAGCGGCUACCAUACGCAGUCUCUGGAGCUGCGUGGCUUUUGUCUCAGGAGGUGUGCAGUGCGUUUGAGGGGAAGCAGGGCCGAGUUUGGUGGAAAGGUCCUGCGGUGGGGUCGGUCCCUGUUGCAAACAUCCCAUCGCCUUUGGAGGUGCCAGGGGAUCUUUCUGCAUCUGACCUUGGUCUCACCACAGUGGGAGAGCCUGGAGGUGUUGGUAGGAUUCUGCCUGGAAAAGGGAUGACUGCUUCUGCCACUCCGUGCCCGAGGAAGGGUGCAGGGCCGUCCCCUUGCCUGCGCUGGGCUCAGCUGAAGUGGCUGAGGCCAGGAGCUGCAAGGCCACCAAGACACUCUGGCUGCAGCAAGAAAAUUGCCUGCCAUGCUAGCAAUGGCCCUUAG